AAUUGGAAAAGCUUAUAAUCAGAUGUUUCUCUGCAGAGGGUGUGGCCAGCUUCUCAAAGGGAUGUGCUAUAUUUGUCUGCCAUCAGAAAGAUAACAGCAUUCAGUGAAAAUGAUCCUGAAACGUGGAUUGUGUGUAAUUUCUCUGUAGAACAUGACAGUGCUCCUCUGAACAAUCGCUGUAUCCGUGCCAAAAUAAAUAUCGCUAUGAUUUGUCAAACACUAGUAAGCCCACCAGAGGGGAACAAGGAAAUAAGCAGGGACAAUAUCCUGUGCAAGAUUACAUAUGUAGCUAAUGUGAAUCCAGGAGGAUGGGCACCAGCAUCAGUGUUACGGGCAGUGGCAAAACGGGAAUAUCCCAAAUUCUUGAAGCGUUUUACAUCAUAUGUGCAAGAGAAAACAGCACGAAAGUCUAUUUUAUUCUAGUAU